AUUCAGAAAGAACCAAUCAGGAGAGAGCAGGCAAACAAGAAUAGAAGUUCUCACUCUGGUCUGCGGGUUUUAGGCUGUUUUUGGCUUGAAGGUGGGGUUUCACUGGGGACCCACCCCUAUCUUCCUAGGAUUUCUUUGCCUCCUGCCUCUAUUAAUUUGCAAGCAACACAAGCUCAUGAAGGGGCUCCAGUCCCUCUCCAGAUUCCAGGGCUUUGUGGUGUGGCAGGAUGAGUGGCCACACUUGAAAGACUCAGGAGACAGCGAGGUUUAACCUAAAGCCAUGAGCUGGGAAUCCACUCAAGCAGGAGGCUGAAAAUGCAAAUAUAGGAAAGUACAGUGACUGUGGAGUGGGGAUGCUGCAAGAACAAUCAGAUGUUCUACGUGGAAUCCAUCGCUGAGCACACCAGCUUGGCAGCAGUUCAUUACCUACGGUGUAGUAGUAAUUGCACCAUGAAGAAAUUUUCUGUAACCAAUUCCAGCAAUAAUUAGAUUAGAUACUUAUUUAGUGCAGAUUUCAAUAAAGCUGCAAUGUUAACUUCAUGUUCAAAUGAACAAGACUGUUUUGCAGAGAUCAAAUGACACCACA
rnacentral:lncRNA from 1 species